ACCUCAGUCAGCUUUAAACUCUCUGAAACAUUCAACAUCGAUUGAAGAAGACGAGCCGGAGCCCCCCCCACAUAUUAAAGAGGAAGAGGAGGAACUGUUCCCAUUCACCCCUGUCCCCGUGAAGAGUGAAGAUGAUGAAGAGAAAGAUGUUGAGCAGCUGUUGGUGGUUAAAGAAGAGGUUCCCCC